AGAGUUUGAUCCUGCGCUCAGGAUGAACGCUAGCUACAGGCUUAACACAUGCAAGUCGAGGGGAAACGACAUCGAAAGCUUGCUUUUGAUGGGCGUCGACCGGCGCACGGGUGAGUAACGCGUAUCCAACCUGCCCACCACUUGGGGAUAACCUUGCGAAAGUAAGACUAAUACCCAAUGAUAUCUCUAGAAGACAUCUGAAAGAGAUUAAAGAUUUAUCGGUGAUGGAUGGGGAUGCGUCUGAUUAGCUUGUUGGCGGGGUAACGGCCCACCAAGGCGACGAUCAGUAGGGGUUCUGAGAGGAAGGUCCCCCACAUUGGAACUGAGACACGGUCCAAACUCCUACGGGAGGCAGCAGUGAGGAAUAUUGGUCAAUGGACGAGAGUCUGAACCAGCCAAGUAGCGUGCAGGAUGACGGCCCUAUGGGUUGUAAACUGCUUUUAUAAGGGAAUAAAGUGAGUCUCGUGAGACUUUUUGCAUGUACCUUAUGAAUAAGGACCGGCUAAUUCCGUGCCAGCAGCCGCGGUAAUACGGAAGGUCCGGGCGUUAUCCGGAUUUAUUGGGUUUAAAGGGAGCGUAGGCCGGAGAUUAAGCGUGUUGUGAAAUGUAGACGCUCAACGUCUGCACUGCAGCGCGAACUGGUUUCCUUGAGUACGCACAAAGUGGGCGGAAUUCGUGGUGUAGCGGUGAAAUGCUUAGAUAUCACGAAGAACUCCGAUUGCGAAGGCAGCUCACUGGAGCGCAACUGACGCUGAAGCUCGAAAGUGCGGGUAUCGAACAGGAUUAGAUACCCUGGUAGUCCGCACGGUAAACGAUGGAUGCCCGCUGUUGGUCUGAAUAGGUCAGCGGCCAAGCGAAAGCAUUAAGCAUCCCACCUGGGGAGUACGCCGGCAACGGUGAAACUCAAAGGACAUU
rnacentral:rRNA from 1 species